rnacentral:rRNA from 1 species
UACGGAGGGUGCAAGCGUUAUCCGGAUUUAUUGGGUUUAAAGGGUCCGCAGGCGGACUUGUAAGUCAGAGGUGAAAGCCGGCAGCUUAACUGUCGAACUGCCUUUGAAACUGCAAGUCUUGAGUGAAAUUGAAGUAGCUGGAAUGAGUAGUGUAGCGGUGAAAUGCAUAGAUAUUACUCAGAACACCAAUAGCGAAGGCAGGUUACUAAAUUUUAACUGACGCUGAGGGACGAAAGCGUGGGGAGCGAACAGG